rnacentral:tRNA from 1 species
GGUUGUAGCUCAGUGGAAAAGCCUUUGCCUAGCAUGUGUGAGGCACUGGGUUCGAUUCUCAGCACCA